UAAAAAUACUGCAGUGUGGCUUGUGACACUGUUUGUCGGACGACGCUUGCAUUUAAAUGUGACCCUCGUUCUAGAUGAGAAGUACAUUGCAACAGGUACCUCAGAUAAGUCUAAGGUACACGAAUGUCGUGACCUCGUUGUCACUGUUAAAGCAUUUAGCGACUAAAAAUGCUUUGACAGGCCUGUCAGACAACUACGGUUCCAUGUCAUUUGCAA
rnacentral:rRNA from 1 species